AUGGCGGAGACAGCGAUCGCAGCUGUUCUCUCGAAACUCGGAGAGUUUGCGACCAAGGAGGCGAGGUUACUGCUCCAGGUGGGCGACGACAUCAUGCUGCUGCGUGACAGGCUGGAGUGGCUGCAGGCCUUCAUUCGCGACGCGGACCGGAAACGCCGGAUCGGCGCCGACGACCUGACCCGAGUGUGGGUGCGUCAGACGCGCGAUGUCGCCUUCGAAGCCGAGGACGCGCUCGACGACUUCUUCCACAAGGUGGACGUAGCGAACCAGAAUCGCCGAGGUUGGAAGAUCCUCGGAUACUUGAGUAGCUUCAGGACCCAGAUCACCGUUCGACAUGGUCUGUCUGCUCGAAUCAACAGAAUCAAGAGUAGACUAGACCAAAUCUCCGAGAACCAAAAAGAAUACAAGAUCGAUCAUUCUCCAUCAGGACUAUGGACGUCUUCCACCACAGCCCUUGCACCGGAUGGCCUAACGAAUGUUGUGGAGCGUGAGAAAGAUGUAAAGACUGUACAUAGACUUCUGUUUCAUGAAGGGCAUCUCCAGAUAAUGUUCAUCUCCAUAUUAGGGGAGAGUGGUGUUGGAAAAGGGACACUCACAACGGAAAUCUGUGAACUUAUGAGAGGGCGGAAAGAAUUUCUUGUUGUCCGGUACAGCAUACCACCGGGUUCCAGUAUAGAAUAUCUCCUGGAAGAAGUCUACAAGAGAGCAUAUAAACACAUCCACAAUCAAGAUGAAGCUCCUUGGGUGAAUGGCAAUGAUAUCGCUGAUAAGCUUCGUGGUCUCCUCACUGGUACGAGGUACCUGCUAGUUCUUAAAGGCAUUUCUUCCAAGACUAUCCUGAAUUGUGUGCGGGCAAGCUUGCCAGCAGACGACAAGACGGGCAGCAGGGUGGUGCUCAUAUUGGAACCUGAAUGCGAGGAAGUUGCGCGGCAUGCUAAUACCUUGAACGAGGCAAGAUAUAAGAUCGAGAGCACACACAGGUUGAGCCAUUUGGAUGAAGACGCAAGUAGAGAACUAUUCCGCUGGAGGGUCUUUGGCAAAAUGGAAAAGCACAACAAGGACAACACCAAGAAGACGACUUAUGAAAAAAAAGUGUUUGAUUUAACAAAAGGCUAUCCUUUGGCUAUAGUUGUUCUUGCUGGACUCUUGCGGCACAAGGAGGAGCCCGUUGAGUGGGAUGCAGUGCUCCAGGAGCUCAGUCCUGGAAUGGAAGAAGCAGAAGAUGGUCAAGACAACCCAAUAACAGGGCUUCUGUUGUUGAAAGAGAAACCGGAUGAGUGGAAGGCCUUGCAGCAGCAGAUGACCGCUGCAAGGGAAACAAAGCUGUCAAACAGAAUGGUGCUCGAGAGGAUCUUGUCCGCGAGCUUUGAUGACCUCCCUCAAGACCUCAAGUCCUGCUUCCUCUACUUGGCCGCUUACCCCAUGAAUGUCUACCUUUCUUCUGGUCAUAUCGUGCGGAUGUGGACGGCCGAGGGCUUCAUCAAGCCACGUAAGGGCAUGACUCUGGAGGAGUUGGGACACAGCUACCUCAAGGAGCUGGUCUCGAGAUGCCUGGUUCGGCUGAUAGACAAGAACGCCCAUGGUGGCAUCAAGACGGUCAUUGUUCACAGCCGCCUCGUAAGGUUCCUGCAAUCAGAAGCUCGAGAGGCGAGCUUCAUUGAGAUUCAUGACAGAAAUGAAAUCCUUGCACCAGCAUCGGUCCGCCGCCUCUCUGUUCAGGAUGACAGCGGGAACUACGCCACAUCCAGCAAUAAGUUUCCCAAGCUGCGGUCCUUCAUAUGCCGCGUUGCAGCAGGUAAUAGCCAAAGCAGUGACGAGUCCGAUGACAGUAAGAAGGAACGACGUGAGUUCCCUUGCGGGCCCAGGCUCGCCUGUGUAAUCUCCAGUCCAGCGACAGAGGGGGUAGAAGGAGGCAGCAGCCUGAAGAGCCAUGAUCUCAAGUUUCUGCGCGGGUCCAAGUUCCUUCGCUUAAUGUCUGUACAGGGUUUGAGGCUCCAGGCGUUGCCCGAUGAGAUUGGUGACAUGAUUCACCUGCGGUACCUACGUGUUGAAUGCCCUGGUCUGAAGAAGCUCCCUCGCAGCAUUAGAAGGCUGCUCAAUCUGCAGACACUCGACAUAAGCAAGACCGCUGUCGUGGAGAUCGACGCAGAGUUCUGGAAGAUCAAAACACUGCGGCAUGUGCUUGCAGAAAAGCUCAAUCUUCCAACGCCACCCAAGAAGGAGAUCGAGGUCAUCGAGCUGCCUGAUCUACAGACUCUGCAUGGUGUAGUGGCCGGUGUUGAAAAUUGGGUCAAAGGAAGCUCUUUACUGGACAAGAUGAGCAAACUGCAGUCACUGGAGCUGCACGGUUUCAAUGCAGAAAAACACGGGUCUGCACUGAAGGGUGCUAUCAGGAAAAUGCAUUUCCUUGGGCACAUGAAGCUGGUAGGUGAUAAGAUCCCGUCAUGUUUGUUUACUGAGCCGAACCUUCGGUGCCUGCAGGCUGUUGAUAUAAAGGGCACCGUGGAAUGGGCUAAUGUCACUUGGGAUGUCCUUCGCAAGGUCCGCCCAAACCUUGUUGAGCUCAAACUUAAUGCAACUGGGAAUGUGCCAAAGGAGUUGAUUAAUGAAAUUGUAGCCCACAAGCUGAUCUGCAUUGUGGAUGGAAAAUUUCAAUGCGCAAAAAGGUCAAAGGAUAAAAUGGAAGAACACAUGUUGAUUCCGCCGUCUAAAUGA
rnacentral:rRNA from 1 species